AUGAAAAUAAUUAGCUGGAACUGUCGAGGUUUGGUUCAACCUCGGACAGUCCAAGAACUUGUGUUCUUCUCGAGGUCACACCGACCCAACAUUAUCUUCUUUUUUGAGACAAAACAUAAAGAGUAUGUUGAGAGUUUGCGCUACCGUUUGGGUACGAAAAAUGUGUUUUAUAUUUCUAUUCCGGGCAAAGGUGGUGGUGUAGCGGUCUUCCGGUGUUGA
rnacentral:rRNA from 1 species